rnacentral:rRNA from 1 species
UGCAGUCGAGCGGUAACAUUUCUAGCUUGCUAGAAGAUGACGAGCGGCGGACGGGUGAGUAAUGCUUGGGAAUAUGCCUUAUGGUGGGGGACAACAGUUGGAAACGACUGCUAAUACCGCAUAAUGUCUACGGACCAAAGGGGGGGAUCUUCGGACCUCUCGCCAUUUGAUUAGCCCAAGUGAGAUUAGCUAGUUGGUGAGGUAAUGGCUCACCAAGGCGACGAUCUCUAGCUGGUUUGAGAGGAUGAUCAGCCACACUGGGACUGAGACACGGCCCAGACUCCUACGGGAGGCAGCAGUGGGGAAUAUUGCACAAUGGGCGCAAGCCUGAUGCAGCCAUGCCGCGUGUGUGAAGAAGGCCUUCGGGUUGUAAAGCACUUUCAGUAAGGAGGAAAGGGAUGUAGUUAAUAGCUGCAUUCUGUGACGUUACUUACAGAAGAAGCACCGGCUAACUUCGUGCCAGCAGCCGCGGUAAUACGAGGGGUGCAAGCGUUAAUCGGAAUUACUGGGCGUAAAGCGUUCGUAGGCGGUUGAUUAAGCAAGAUGUGAAAGCCCAGGGCUCAACCUUGGAACUGCAUUUUGAACUGGUCAACUAGAGUACUGUAGAGGGUGGUGGAAUUUCCAG